GCCAGAGCCAUAUCAACCUGCAGUUCUCACCUGGUAUCCCACUGAAGCUCUGCAGGGUUGAGCCUGGCCAGUACCUGCAUGGGAGACCCCUUAGGGAAAACCAAGGUUGCUGCUGGAA
rnacentral:rRNA from 1 species